rnacentral:rRNA from 1 species
GACGAACGCUGGCGGCGUGCCUAAUACAUGCAAGUCGAGCGCUGGGGGGAGGGGUGAGUAACACUUGGUAAAACUCCUUAACGACUCGGAUAACUUGGGGAAACCGGUGCUAAACCGGAUAUUCAGUGAUGGAUCCGCGCUGCAUUAGCUUGUUGGUAAGGAAACGGCUUACCAAGGCAACGAUGCAUAGCCGACCUGAGAGGGUGAUCGGCCACACUGGAACUGAGACACGGUCCAGACUCCUACGGGAGGCAGCAGUAGGGAAUCUUCCGCAAUGGGCGAAAGCCUGACGGAGCAACGCCGCGUGAGUGAUGAAGGUCUUCGGAUCGUAAAACUCUGUUAUUAGGGAAGCGGUACCUAAUCAGAAAGCCACGGCUAACUACGUGCCAGCAGCCGCGGUAAUAC